UCUUAUCUAGUUUAUAUAAAACAAUAGUUUGUGGAACUAUUAUAUCUGUCAUUAAUAU
rnacentral:tRNA from 1 species